AUAUGCUGAAAUUCAUGACAUCCAUGCCUUGCACUCUUUCAUAUACUAGCAGAGCUCCUUGAGAACCGAGCCCCUGAUGAACCUGUUCCACUACCAUCACCAAUCGAAGAUUUUGAAGCAGCCAGUGUGACACAGGCAUAUAAUGAAGAGUUUGAAGCAGCCAUUGUGGCACAGGCAGCUGGUGUUGAACAGAGUAGCCCCGAAACUGCAGACAAGAGCCUUCAAGUUGUGAUAAAACCAGUAACAUCUUGCACGGCGUCACAAGCAGACAUAAAAAAAAGUGCAACUUCAUUUCACGUGGGACGCAGACAAAGCCUCGGGGUGUUUCAAUCGGUGUCCAGGUUGGCAACUUCACUGCAGAUGUUGCUACUCAGGUCAUGAAUGUGGCAGAGCCAUGUUAUGAGAGUGACAGUGACAGCCUAAGUGACAGUGAACCUCCUUCUGAUUUCGACGACGAUUACAAUCCUGACAAUGACCCUUGCCACGAGUAUGUUAUGCUAUUCUUACUGUUGCAUAGCCUUUGAGAUGUCAGCACUUUCUGCAGCCUGUGGUUCAUGACUAGUUGUGUAAAUUACAUGCAACUCUCCUACAAGUUUUCAAACCAUCUAAAUAUUUUCCAUUCGGUGAAAAUCUCGUAUGUCUUUCAGGCCCGACACCUGUGCCGACUCUUCGGAAGAUGGAGUAAUUUUAGUUGAAAAAAGGCACCUGACCACAUUGUUUCUAGUCUGCCGCACAUGCCUUGCUCCUUGCACAUACAGUCUUCGCUGUGAAGGGACAGUUACAGAGGUGUGUGCUCAGUGCCCACUAGGAUACCAGCUAUGCUGGAGGAACCAAGACGUUGUAAACCAGCAGCCAGUGCUAAACCUGAAGCCUUCUGCUGCCCUUUUGUUUUCGGGCAAUAACCCUGCUGCAACUUUGAGGAUGCUGGCUUCUAUAGGUGUUGAAGUAGUUACGGACAGGACCUUCUUCAAUAUCCAGCGUAUUCACCUUUGGCCUGCAGUGGACAAAGUUUGGAGGGAACAACAAAAGCAGCUAUUCGAAAAUGCCCGUGGCCAAGAAGUUGAGCUUGCAGGGGAUGGGCGGGCUGAUUCGCCUGGCUUCAGUGCCAAAUUUGGCACAUACUCUUUGAUGGAUGUUGCAAACAACAAAGUGCUCCACGUAGAGCUU
rnacentral:lncRNA from 1 species